GGGUUGUGAGGUUAAGCGACUAAGCGUACACGGUGGAUGCCCUGGCAGUCAGAGGCGAUGAAGGACGUGCUAAUCUGCGAUAAGCGUCGGUAAGGUGAUAUGAACCGUUAUAACCGGCGAUUUCCGAAUGGGGAAACCCAGUGUGUUUCGACACACUAUCAUUAACUGAAUCCAUAGGUUAAUGAGGCGAACCGGGGGAACUGAAACAUCUAAGUACCCCGAGGAAAAGAAAUCAACCGAGAUUCCCCCAGUAGCGGCGAGCGAACGGGGAGCAGCCCAGAGCCUGAAUCAGUGUGUGUGUUAGUGGAAGCGUCUGGAAAGGCGCGCGAUACAGGGUGACAGCCCCGUACACAAAAAUGCACAUGCUGUGAGCUCGAUGAGUAGGGCGGGACACGUGGUAUCCUGUCUGAAUAUGGGGGGACCAUCCUCCAAGGCUAAAUACUCCUGACUGACCGAUAGUGAACCAGUACCGUGAGGGAAAGGCGAAAAGAACCCCGGCGAGGGGAGUGAAAAAGAACCUGAAACCGUGUACGUACAAGCAGUGGGAGCACAGAGCAAUCUGUGUGACUGCGUACCUUUUGUAUAAUGGGUCAGCGACUUAUAUUCUGUAGCAAGGUUAACCGAAUAGGGGAGCCGAAGGGAAACCGAGUCUUAACUGGGCGUUAAGUUGCAGGGUAUAGACCCGAAACCCGGUGAUCUAGCCAUGGGCAGGUUGAAGGUUGGGUAACACUAACUGGAGGACCGAACCGACUAAUGUUGAAAAAUUAGCGGAUGACUUGUGGCUGGGGGUGAAAGGCCAAUCAAACCGGGAGAUAGCUGGUUCUCCCCGAAAGCUAUUUAGGUAGCGCCUCGUGAAUUCAUCUCCGGGGGUAGAGCACUGUUUCGGCAAGGGGGUCAUCCCGACUUACCAACCCGAUGCAAACUGCGAAUACCGGAGAAUGUUAUCACGGGAGACACACGGCGGGUGCUAACGUCCGUCGUGAAGAGGGAAACAACCCAGACCGCCAGCUAAGGUCCCAAAGUCAUGGUUAAGUGGGAAACGAUGUGGGAAGGCCCAGACAGCCAGGAUGUUGGCUUAGAAGCAGCCAUCAUUUAAAGAAAGCGUAAUAGCUCACUGGUCGAGUCGGCCUGCGCGGAAGAUGUAACGGGGCUAAACCAUGCACCGAAGCUGCGGCAGCGACGCUUAUGCGUUGUUGGGUAGGGGAGCGUUCUGUAAGCCUGUGAAGGUGUGCUGUGAGGCAUGCUGGAGGUAUCAGAAGUGCGAAUGCUGACAUAAGUAACGAUAAAGCGGGUGAAAAGCCCGCUCGCCGGAAGACCAAGGGUUCCUGUCCAACGUUAAUCGGGGCAGGGUGAGUCGACCCCUAAGGCGAGGCCGAAAGGCGUAGUCGAUGGGAAACAGGUUAAUAUUCCUGUACUUGGUGUUACUGCGAAGGGGGGACGGAGAAGGCUAUGUUGGCCGGGCGACGGUUGUCCCGGUUUAAGCGUGUAGGCUGGUUUUCCAGGCAAAUCCGGAAAAUCAAGGCUGAGGCGUGAUGACGAGGCACUACGGUGCUGAAGCAACAAAUGCCCUGCUUCCAGGAAAAGCCUCUAAGCAUCAGGUAACAUCAAAUCGUACCCCAAACCGACACAGGUGGUCAGGUAGAGAAUACCAAGGCGCUUGAGAGAACUCGGGUGAAGGAACUAGGCAAAAUGGUGCCGUAACUUCGGGAGAAGGCACGCUGAUAUGUAGGUGAAGUCCCUCGCGGAUGGAGCUGAAAUCAGUCGAAGAUACCAGCUGGCUGCAACUGUUUAUUAAAAACACAGCACUGUGCAAACACGAAAGUGGACGUAUACGGUGUGACGCCUGCCCGGUGCCGGAAGGUUAAUUGAUGGGGUUAGCGCAAGCGAAGCUCUUGAUCGAAGCCCCGGUAAACGGCGGCCGUAACUAUAACGGUCCUAAGGUAGCGAAAUUCCUUGUCGGGUAAGUUCCGACCUGCACGAAUGGCGUAAUGAUGGCCAGGCUGUCUCCACCCGAGACUCAGUGAAAUUGAACUCGCUGUGAAGAUGCAGUGUACCCGCGGCAAGACGGAAAGACCCCGUGAACCUUUACUAUAGCUUGACACUGAACAUUGAGCCUUGAUGUGUAGGAUAGGUGGGAGGCUUUGAAGUGUGGACGCCAGUCUGCAUGGAGCCGACCUUGAAAUACCACCCUUUAAUGUUUGAUGUUCUAACGUUGACCCGUAAUCCGGGUUGCGGACAGUGUCUGGUGGGUAGUUUGACUGGGGCGGUCUCCUCCUAAAGAGUAACGGAGGAGCACGAAGGUUGGCUAAUCCUGGUCGGACAUCAGGAGGUUAGUGCAAUGGCAUAAGCCAGCUUGACUGCGAGCGUGACGGCGCGAGCAGGUGCGAAAGCAGGUCAUAGUGAUCCGGUGGUUCUGAAUGGAAGGGCCAUCGCUCAACGGAUAAAAGGUACUCCGGGGAUAACAGGCUGAUACCGCCCAAGAGUUCAUAUCGACGGCGGUGUUUGGCACCUCGAUGUCGGCUCAUCACAUCCUGGGGCUGAAGUAGGUCCCAAGGGUAUGGCUGUUCGCCAUUUAAAGUGGUACGCGAGCUGGGUUUAGAACGUCGUGAGACAGUUCGGUCCCUAUCUGCCGUGGGCGCUGGAGAACUGAGGGGGGCUGCUCCUAGUACGAGAGGACCGGAGUGGACGCAUCACUGGUGUUCGGGUUGUCAUGCCAAUGGCACUGCCCGGUAGCUAAAUGCGGAAGAGAUAAGUGCUGAAAGCAUCUAAGCACGAAACUUGCCCCGAGAUGAGUUCUCCCUGACCCUUUAAGGGUCCUGAAGGAACGUUGAAGACGACGACGUUGAUAGGCCGGGUGUGUAAGCGCAGCGAUGCGUUGAGCUAACCGGUACUAAUGAACCGUGAGGCUUAACCUUACAACGCCGAAGGUGUUU
rnacentral:rRNA from 1 species